CUGCAUUUCCUUUGCAAGCGUUUUCAGUGUGACUCGGACGGCGACCGUGGACAGGCCGUACCGAGGAGGAACGUUUACGUUCGUUAUCCGGUGGCAAUCUGCGACUCGGACACAAGUGCCAGCAGCAGGGACGGAACUAAACAGUGAACGUUUCACCAGACAUAUCACGGGCACCUCAAUGCAUAGGGUCGUCGAAAAGGAAAGAACUGUUGCGUAUUUACCACGAGACCACUGCCACGAACUCUUACUUGAACUUAUAUGCUUGUUCAACGCGCACAGCAUAUACCUGUACAUUAAUAGCGAGUGCUGAUGCAUUAUGUGAAGACUGUGAACACGAAUCGCAACCAUUAGCCAGAGUUAUCUGGACUACAAACCGGUGCGGAAGGUUAGAUGUUAUAAACGGCGUUCGAAACGAAGACUAACGACCAAUACACCACCAGGCGACCAGGCGACUCGCGGCUGCGGACACCGAACACGCGUAAUAAUAAUAAUAAUAAUAAUAAUAAUAAUAAUAAUAAUAA